AUAUCAGCAAAAAUAAGCAAUACCAUGGUUUAAACAGGGGUAACAGCAAGUGGAUCUUAUUGCCUUUGGGGGGCUACAAUUGUGCUCCUCAAAGUGAAUUUGCAGGUUCUGUGUGC